UCACAUCUAUCUCCAUAUCGCUCUUGCUUUUCCGCCGCAACCCGGUCCUAAUCUCGGCGAAGGUAGUUUUCCAUCGCAGCUCUGCCCUAAACUCGAGGCAGGUAUCUUCUUCCUUGUGUCGUCCUAGCUUUGCUCGAGAUAGAAUUUUAGGUACGCUUCUUUUCCAGUAUGGUUACUCUUUUCUUCCAUAAGUUGUAUUGGUGGCAUUUUUUUCUUGUUUUAUUCUAGUUACUUUUCUUCCAUUAGCUCUGCCCUACAUUAUUGGCGUUUUUAAAUUGGUUGAAGGCAUUUAAACAGAAUGUUAAGG
rnacentral:lncRNA from 1 species